rnacentral:rRNA from 1 species
UACGUAGGGUGUAAGCGUUGUCCGGAAUUAUUGGGCGUAAAGAGCUCGUAGGCGGUCUGUUACGUCGGCUGUGAAAACCUGGGGCUCAACUCCGGGCCUGCAGCCGAUACGGGCAGACUAGAGUUCGGCAGGGGAGACUGGAAUUCCUGGUGUAGCGGUGAAAUGCGCAGAUAUCAGGAGGAACACCGGUGGCGAAGGCGGUUCUCUGGGCAUGAUCUGACGCUGAGGAGCGAAAGUGUGGGGAGCGAACAGG